CUUUGAAUGAGCCUUUAAGGGCUCUCUGACAUGACAAUGUGUCAACAAUUCUUAAUGCUCGCCCUCAAUACUGUCGGUGUUGAUGAGCGAGUCCAAAGAAGGCAACCGUUGUUGCGGCUGGAAAUCGUGCCCUGCCAAAAUCUAUACGUGUUGAUCUGUACUUGAUGCCUGGUAGAUGGGUGAAUGUGUACGUUUGUUGUUCUCAGACUUUUUGGCCGCUUAAUUUCUUGCAGAUGAUCUCGGAAUGAGCAAAACCCUCGCUCCAGAGGAAUCCACUCUUCAUGGUCCCACGAUAACCAUUGUCUCGCAGGCCACUUUUCUUCAAUCGACACUCGGCUAUAUCAUUGUGAUACUCGUCAUCCUCAUACUUCUCGCCCUUUUACUACUGCUAUGUAUUUGUCUAUGCUGCGCAAUGGCCCUUCUCUACUUUCGCGAAGGUCCUACACAGAGGAACGAGAAUAAGGCGCGUUUCAUUCCGCGCAUACGAAAGAACUGGAAAAGUUUGAGGGAUGCUGAAGAAGCGGCUCGACUUAUUAGUAGAUAAGUAAGGUCGUCGAAAAUCAGAACUUGGGAAUUCAAGUGUUCAGGUGUUUCUGUGCGUAUCUACUUGUGUUGCCAAAUGCAUGCCUCGAGCGUCGCGUCCGAGUGAUCAGUGAACUUUAGCAACAAAGGUAGCAGACGAACCCUGACCAGUAAAUCCUGAGACACACCAGCACCUUCGUAGGCUCCAUGAUCACUAUGGAGCCAAACAUUAUUUAACAAAAGCAAUACGAAUUUGCAUAGGGCCACCGUUACCAGCAAACCUUUCACAUGAUCGACACCAUCUACCGCAGUAAUAGUUGUCAUAACGGUAACACCUAGCACCACGAGGGGAACUACAACUUGCAGCAGGACGAAAGACAGACAGAGGACCCAACUGCUGACUAACCUGCAAAAUGAAAAGCGGUAGACGGGCGAAUAUGGCCCAGCAAGAGAAGGCAAGCCGCAUCCUUCCCAUCGUCAAGCUGAAUAGAGGAGUAAAGGAGGCUGUCAAGAUACAAAGAAUACAAAUGGGAACGGCCUGGAUGAAACUGGGACACUUCGUGCGGAACUAGCUACUCGAGAAGACGCGGUCGAAAAAAACCAGUGAUUCUGUUUGGGCGCCCCGAAGAAGAGGAAAAAUGCCGGGUUUUUUUUCCUGAAAUUUUGCUACAGUUGUACGUGGCAUUAGAUCGGUACAAUCGACGGUGCUCAAACUGAUAUGCAAACAAACUUCUGGCCCGUUCGGUAUAACUGUGACUUGUCAGAUGACUGAGACGAAGUGGCCACCUCGUCGAAAGCAACAAGAUCAGAGCCAGCAAAUAUCUGUUGUCCAAACUUAUUCGCAGUAAACCGCUAGCGUGCUGGUCUAACAGAAUACGUGCGCUGUAUAAUACACGUACUACCGACAAAACUUAGCGAAUUUCUUGUGUGACUUAUUUUGUGAACAGGUCAACAACUACCUACGAACUAGGUUUUGUACACUAAUUGCAUGUAUAUCGAGGAAGGAUCCAACGUAACCGCAAGAUGAGCUAAUCAUACCCAUUUCGCUGCACGAAUUUCGAAAUUGAGCCCGGUGAGUCCUUCCGCCUCCCGUGCUU